rnacentral:misc_RNA from 1 species
GAUGAAGAAUGUAGCGAAAUGCGAUACGUAGUGUGAAUUGCAGAAUUCAGUGAAUCAUCGAAUCUUUGAACGCACAUUGCACCUCUCGGUAUUCCGGGAGGUAUGCCUGUUCGAGCGUCAUUUGUACCCUCAAGCUCUGCUUGGUGUUGGGUGUUUGUUCCGCCUCUGUGUGUGAACUCGCCUCAAAACAAUUGGCAGCCGGCGUACUUGUUUCGGAGCGCAGCACAUUUUGCGAUCCAGAUCAACGUACAGCGGCAUCCAAGAAGCCUUAUUUAACGCUCUUGACCUCGGAUCAGGUAGGGAUACCCGCUGAACUUAAGCAUAUCAAUAAGCGGAGGA